rnacentral:misc_RNA from 1 species
AGAAGAAGGCACUCAAGUACCAUCCUGAUGUAUCCCCUCCAAACUGCACCGAGCAGUAUACACAGCACUUUAUUUUGCUGAAGAAGGAUUACGAGACUCUUUCGGAUCCGGUUACUAGAGCGAUAUAUGAUCGAUGUCUUGGUGGACUACACUUCGAUGAGGUGAGUUAUGUUUUAUCGUCUCUAAUUUUUUAAUUGAAUUCUUAGAACUUAAUAUUUUUUACAUAAUUU